GCCAGCGUAGUGUAGUGGUUUCAGCAUUGGACUAUGACUCUGGAGAUCAGGGUUCAAAUGCCCACUCUGGCA
rnacentral:tRNA from 1 species